UAUUUUUAUAGCUGUCAUCAGAUCCCUGCCCUAGCCCUGGAGCCCUGGCAGGGACAGCCAGGUGGGAGGAAAGGCGUGGAGAUGGGAAUGUUUAAGGCGUGUUAGGGGAAGAGUGAGGAGACCAGCCUGGCUGGUGGGGAGGGCCAGGGCUGCGCACCUUGACAACCCGCCCACGCCGGGCACAAAGGCCCAUUGUUCGGGCCCACGUUGGCGGGGAAGCGGGCGGGGAGCAGCCGCCUUUCACCCAACCCGCUUGUGGUCGGCGGGGACUGAGGAGCGAUUCACAGAGGCCCCCGCCCCCUGUCCGGGCACCCAGCCAGGACGCCUCCCGGGCAGGCACCCUUGCCAAGCUGGCCCUGAGUCACAGCGCUGUGUCCUGGGAAGCUGG
rnacentral:lncRNA from 1 species